rnacentral:lncRNA from 1 species
AAAAAGAAGAGUAAAUGUAGUUAAUGACUAAUACAUAACUCGAAGCUGGUAAUAUAAUCCUAGCGUGAAAGCCUGAUGGUUGUUUCUAUGGAAAAAAAAAGUUACCAUGCCUCAUGAAUAUUGGAAAUGUUCAGGUACAAGAAUUCUCAUAUCUUCCAUACAGAUUUCAUCAUUUGAAGAUGUCACACAUGUGUCACCCACAUGCUAAAAGGGCACAGCGGCAAUGGAAUUUGGAGUUUGCAGCAGCAGGAUUUCUUUGUCUGAAAGCUGGUGCUUACUUAUUUCUUCUAGUGGCAGAUUCUAUAAUGGCAGAUCUGUUUUUUUGUGUAGAAACACUGGUGCCUUUUUGGCCUUUUAGCAGGACCUUCUUUUUGCAGAUGCCAAGCUCUGAGGGAUCUUAAAGAACAAAGCUUUAAGCUCUUUUCUUCUUUCUUGCUUUAGUGGGAGACUUCAAUGAUUUGCAGCCUUAAAUACUUGUGGUAAGGAUCCCUGCUUCCCCUCUAUUUGCAUGCCUUGUAAUGAUGGUACAUUUUUUAUUUUUUACUGUUAAUUGUACUUAACAGUGCUUAACCGAGAUGAUUAGGAUCAUCAUUGUCAUCACCAUGAUUAUAUCUUCAUAAUUAGCGCAAAAACUCAACUUAAAAAGCCUUACCAAAUGUGUUUGUGUGUGUGGAUCCACGUUUAUAUCUUGUUCGGAGGGGAAGGACUCCUGUUCAUGUCUUGCCACCCUUGAUAAUGGGGAUUCAUUUAAGAAAAGAGAAAGUUGAAGAGGUGUAAUUUGUAAGGAAUUUUCAAAUAAUUAAAGAACUUACUGUAUAAUUGUGAUGGUUUAACCAAUAUUUAAGCAUCAAUUAUUGGUGUUUAGUGGCCUGCAAGACCUCAUCGAAUCAUACAAGGUAUGCCCUCGCUUUCAUACACAACACUAAUCUAAUUAUUAUCUCCUGUUUCUCCAUUUAUGAGCUACAAUAUUAGCUUGUGGACCUUCAUCUCACAAGAUAGACUACUGUUCUUUCUCUGCAAUAUCGAAACCUAAUCAAUUCCCAGUUGUAGCUAACAGCAUCAGCCACUUAAAGGACCAAAAGCAUAUUAAUCAUCAACCACCAUGUUUAUAGCAUGACAUAUACUGGAAGCUUGAAAUUGAAAACCACGAUUUUUAGUCCAUUUUUUUAGUACACAAGCUUGCUUCACAUCUUUCAAGAUCAAUAAUGAAUAAAGCUUUCCUGUCACCAUCGAUGUUUUCUAGUAAUUUGAACUCUCAAAUCAAUACAAUAUCCCUCUCAAAAUAAAUAGGUAAUUAAUACAUAAAAAAUACGCAAUUCAUCACAGAGGGUAUCUAGGUUGAAAAGGUCUAAAUGUAACACAAAAUCAUCAUAAAAAAAUGAUAAACUUACCUGCUGUUCCGUAUAUAGAUCUUCAAGUCACCUCUGGCAUACUAGCUAUAACACUAAUCUAAGCUCCAAAAGACCAGCAAUGAGCUUAACAAAUCAAUCAAAUUGUAUAGUAACUCAUAAUUAGUUUUAGAAAUCAAAUGGCUUUCCUACUAGCAGGCAUGCAGCUCGAGAGAUGAAAACAAAAGUGGCUCCCAAUGUAAUUAAUUUCUUGUGCUGCUGUCAAAAGUACUCUAUAUAUUGAUGGGAUUUCAAGAUAAAAAUAAAAGAUAAAGGCUAAUGAAAAAUAUAUGCACACAAACAAAUCCUCCAAAAGAUGGUAGUUGAAAUUCCUUAACUUUUUAUUAGGGAAAAACAAGAGCCAGUAUCUGCCCUUUCAUAUCAAAACUGAUAUAUCCCUAACUACAGUACUGUAUGAUUAAAGCAAGAACACGAGAAAUAAAGAAAAGAACAGCAUUUUCGCAACAGUUUUUUUUCUUAACUACACUUGAAAGCAAGCUCUACCACAAAAUAUAAUCUCAUUGUCAUUGAAAUAUCACUGAUAUCCCAUUGUUUUUCUGGUAGAAACAUGAUAGACCAGGAAAUUAAAGAAUAUAUAUCUACACUUGGAACUAGAAUAUUCAAGGACAGAAACUAGCUGUCUAUAAGGUGCUAAAACAGUGAAUCCGAUCUUCAUCAGAUGCCAUAGUCAUGAUAAAAAUAAGAAAAAAGAACUGAAGGAAAUAAAAUGGCAACAAUCUAAUCCAUGUUAUCACUAAAUCACGUCGAUUGAAGUUGGGUUUUCAUGGAAAAAUCCAACCAACACUACUAAAUAUUCCCUUUUCGACAAAUUAAUUAAACACCACCGCCGCUGCUUAAUUAGGUAAAUCAAAUCUUUUAAAUUAGUACAUGAAGAAUAAAGCCAAGAAAUUACAACUGGAAGCAUCUUUUGCAGGUAUGAAGAGACUAAAAGCAAGUGGUCUCCCUGUCUUGACAACAACUUGAAGGGAAAAAGUCACACACUUGUCCAUGAUCACCAAAACUUGAUAUCAGUGAUUAACUAACUUUUCAUACAGCUGAUAUCAAAGCAUUACAAUCCUUUUUUACAUAAUUAAGAUAUGCCCUAUGAGGCCUAUAUUCCUAUCCCUUAUAUUCAUUAAUUCUUUAAUUAACACCUACUAAUAAAAUUCAAGCGCUCUUUUAUGUUGGUGCAAUAUUCAUGAUACAACUUAUCCGUAUCUUGGCCUGAACUUAGAUAUGUAGAGUUGGAUAUAAAAAACUUAUUUCUCCAUUUUAUGUUGUUAGGUUACAAAAUUAAUUUUUAUCGAAAGAUUCAUAUUAUUUGAAGCAUUAAAUCUAUGCUUUUGUCUCCGUAAGACUACAAGAUGUGUGCAUGGCAAUUACUGAGCUAUACAAUAUCAUGCCAAUGAGCCUUGUUUUGGAUUUAAUCUUUUUGGAAACUCUUCAGAUACAGAAUACUGAAGAAUAAAAGGGAAAAACAACAAUCUCACAGAAACUUCUGAUGUUAUGCUUGAAUGUCUGAUAAAGAGAUUGAAUCAGCAAAAUGCUUAUGAAGCGUAAGUAGUCUAUGAAAAUGCCCCAACUGCCACCUCAUGUGGAAGUGCUGUUCGAGUGCUAAUUAAUACUAUAUAUGUGAGGAAACUCACUGCAAUUUAUAAUCUGGGAAACCACAGAAUGCUAAUUAUCCAACAGAUGAAUGUAACAUCCUGUGUAGGUUUGUCAAUUUCUGUUCAGAAUUGUGGGUCACCAACACCAAGCUGGACCCCAAACCGUGUGCAAUUAAGGAUGAAACCAAAUUUGUACCACCAUUUGUCUCCUAUUCAGUUUCACUCCCAAAAUCAGUACAAAAUUGUAAGGGUUAGGUGAGGCCAAAAUUAAUAUAGUGAGAGACAUGAUGAAAAGAUUGCAGAAACCAAGUAUAUAUGCAAUUAUGAGAGCAUUGGAUUUACCACCAUAUACACAAUAUAAAAAAUACAUUAAUAUAUACAUUUCCUAACUAGCUUGCCUUUCUUGUGUUUUGUGAAUUUAAUUUACAUAUUGAUUCUUGGUACUACCUGCAGCCCACUAGUAAAGACAAACAUGGAAGCAUCCAGCCAUGCAGGCAGGAGAGAUAUGGAUAAUAUAUUGUCUUUCUUGGCAUUUUUUAGUUGUUGUAAGAGAUAUAGCUGGAUCUGAGUCGGUUAAAAAAUCAACAAUACACUGAUUGGACAGGCAAAUGUGUGAGUGUCUACUUGUGUAUGUUUGCAUAUGCAUAAUUCUUGUGUUUGCAAUAAAGGAAAAUAGAGGUGUUAAUUAUUGAGAUCAAAAUCACAUCGUAAUCAACCUGAAAUUGCAAUUUCAAUGGCAACUAAUCCAGAGAUAAACAAUAAAAGAAAAGAAAGGGAAGAUGAAGCAAGAACCAAAGAAUUGAUCACCUGGUAUGAAGCACCUGUGACUCUGUGAGAGCAAAUUAGACCCCAGAAAGCAUGUUUUAGAAUCUCUUCUGCUGUUUGUGAGUGAGUGAUUGAAGCUGCUAGAUGACCUGAUGGAACCAUAUACUUUUAUAGCUCUGAGUUCAAGCUAGUUUCUAAUUAGGUUUCUACCCUUUUGCCUGGAAAAUACAUAUACCAUUUAGGUACAAGUUUACCUAUGCGUCUUCCUAUUAGUGCAAUUCCCUUUCUCGACAAUUUUACUGGGAAAAUCACCAGUAUAUUCUGUUUUCAUUGCCUAAAAACUCACAAGCAAUUGAUCAUCAUAAGAUCAAAAACAUGCAUCCUAAACUAGCUAGUAAUACAAACCUAGCUACCACGAUUCAGUAUAUAUCUUUGACAACAUUAAAUUUUUUCUACCUACAAAUACUGCGAUAAGAUUAAUGUUAAUAUAUAUAUAUAAAUGAGAGUAACACGUUCAUUACCAGAUCAUGCUGGCAGCUUCAACCUCUCAAACCAACAUAUUAGACAAAUUGAAGGAAGAACCAAAACGGGGGGAGUGAGUUUUGGCCUUUUUUGGGAAAUUUGGAAAGCGAAGAGGUCUAAUUUAAAGGGAAAGAAGCAGAAGCUUAAUUUCUCACCUAAAGAUUGACAAAGGAAAGCACGAGCUGUGCAUGUUUUAGGUAGAGGAAUCCUCGUGACUCUCCCUCUCCGUUUAUAUAAAUGCACCUCUCUCUCUUCUUCCCCCACUCUGUUGUACUGUGUCAUAGAUGGAGUAUUUAAUGGUGAGUUUUGGCCCUUCCUUACAGCUACUGACACGGACCUCUUGCCUCUCUUUCCUUCUCUCUUCUCACUACACAAGGUUACAUGAAUGAAUAUAUCAAUGAGAAGGGACCACCACUUGGUCCUCCUAACAAUCAAAGAAACCCUGCUCUCAACUAAGAUUAAUUAAUUUAAUCUCUUACUGUUAUAUGUCAAAGAAAUUAAGUUGUUAAGGUCAAACUAAAAAGUGGUUGAAUGAAAAAUCAACUGAAAGUAACAUGCAUGAUUAAUUAUACUUUUAACAAAGAUAAUAAUAAUAUUGUAAAUAAUAAUUUCUAUGAAUAUAUAGGACAGCUAGGUUUGUAAAUUAAAUAAUGAAAUAUUAGCGGGCAUAAAUCAUUUUACCGUCUCGAGAAGCAAAGUAGGUGAAAAGAAGAAGACUCCUUGAAAAGACAAUUAGAUCAAAACCUUCAAGGAGUAAGAACAUGGUAAAUCUAUAAUAUUUAAUUAGGAAACAAAAUAGAAAAGCUUAAUAAUACUAAAUAGAAAAAAAAAAACUAUUCAUUUAAGUAGAAAAACUAGAAAUUCCUGAUAAUACUAAGUAAAAUGAUAAAAAUAAUCAAGGGAAAAUAUUUAUUUUUCCAUAAAGCUUAUGCAUCAAAUGGCGUUUCUAAAUUAGGAAGAUGUCCUGAUUAAGCAUGCAAUAGUUUAUGUCGGGUAAAUGGUAGUCUAUGUGCACAACCAUUCUAUGUAAAAAUAGAAUGAUUUUAGCAAGAAAAAAGGUUAGAAAUCAAAUGAUGCCCUAGAGAGACGCCAGCCAGUAAGAGUAAGGGCCGGCUAGCCUUUUGACCUAUUCUAAGGGCAGGUUAAUUUUCUAAUAGAAUUAAGAGGGAGAGUUCCAUACAUAGCAUGUGGAUUUGUAAGAAUAGGUUAAUUGGAAGAUGGGAAAGAGAAAAAGGGCAGUGCACGCUUGAUUUGUCAUGGAUCAUGUCUUUUACCCUAUGGACUGCAUGCCCUGAGUGUUUUUUUUUAUGUUUUUUAUAUCUAAAACGGUGCGUGCUGCUAGCUAGCUAGAAUGCAGAUGGCUGUGAUAAAUAAUCUCGCCAUGAUCAGCUAGGGUUUCUCAAGCUCGCUCCUCUGAUCAGCAGUAAGCAUGCCUGGCGACUAAAAAAGAGGGCAGUUGCCAUGUGCUUAGUGAGCUCCUUGGACCUACAGCAACACCAUUACAAUAAAUACUGCUUCAUUAUUUAUUUGAAGUGUAUGUAUUGGCCAGGUUGGUGGAAUCAGUAGAGGGCAUCCUUUUGUCUUUAGCUUUGGGUGGUUCUUCUGUCUUUGGUUGACAAACAAUGACAUGUAGACAAGCCCUAAUGGAAGGCAAGGACCACACCUUUUUCUUUAAUAUUCAGAUUAAAUGGAUAGGCCUCACAUGGUUUUGCUUUGUGAUCUAGCUCAAAGAGUUGAAUCUUCAUUUGAUUAAGGUAGGUGUGGUGGUGGUUCGUGAAUAAAGCAAUAUUGCGAGAUUAGGGUUUUUUUUCCCUCUCUCACUAACUCAUCGGUGUUCUCUUCUUUUCCCUAUGUUUUUGGUCCCACUUUUGCUUGGCUGUUCGUUUGUUCUUCCUUUGUAGAUAGGGUUUGGAGAUGCCUUUUGUUUGCCCCAUGGUUAUCAUUUUCUGCCCGUCCGGGGUGGUCUCAUGUCCAUUAUCUCUUAAAGUAGGUUUUGUGAUCAUAAUUAAUUUGCUCCAAAAAAUCUGGUUAUGUAUUUAUUUCAAAGAAAUCCAUUGAGUAAUUUCUCUUCUUUUUGCACCCUCCAUUUCUAGUCUCUUCUUAUCCUUUGCCAUUAUUUUUUUUUGGGGUAAAGCUCUCAAAGCGCAGUUGUUGGACAAAGACAGCACCAUUAAAGCUGAGCUUUUAACCAGAAAGUUGGGACGCAGCUUCACUAUUCACCAUCCAUUUAAUCUAAAUAAGGAAUUCAAAUUAUGACUGAGCUCUCCAAAUCAAGCUGGCAGCGCUUGUAUAGGCCAGAACAAAUCUAUCCCUGUACCCCUUUUUGAUUAUUUUUUUUCUCUUCUUUGAAUUAGGGUACAUGGAAUGCGAGUGGAGCAUAUAGAUAAAUAAGAUCGUUUUUGUCCUGUAAUUUGUGGUUCGAAAUGUAUAAUAUUUUAAGUUUUAAAUAAAUGAAAAGAGAAGCAAGUGCCUAGGAAGAUUAACUCUAAGAAGUAAAAUCCUCCGUUGAUGUUCUUUUCCUAUUAAUCGAGGUCAAGUAGCUAGCAUCACAUGGGAUCAAGCGAGGUGACAACUUGUACCAACCAGAAGCUUUUUUAGCCAGUCUUCCUUUGACCUUUCCACAGUUUUUUUCUUUUUAAAUUCGAUCCUCCCUAUAUCUUUACAUUUUACUCCUUGGAAAAUGGAUUUAUUGAUUGUCCUAUCUGUCUCAUAACAUGUGUAAUUUGAACUUUAGCUUAACCUUGAGCUAAAUACAUAGGUCCAUUGCUCAUGGAAUCUUUUUCCUUUCCUGCUCUCUAAAGUAAGAACAAUUAAAAAGAUUGUUUGAUUAAUAUGACUUGUUAACUGCUCAUGCAUUUCUAUGACCUAAAUCUUGGGAGAGAGCUUUUUGGUUUCAUGGAGCCAUAUCUAGGGUUUGUUAGGAGCUUCGCAAACCUAAUGUCACUUGUCCUUCAUUAAUUGGCAUGGGAAUGAGAGCAGCGGCUUCCUAAGAGUGCAGAACCAUACCUUUUCUUUUUCUUUUUUUCUUUUUUUCUGAUUCUUGUAUCAUGCUCAACUCAUCAAGAAGUGGAAAAGAGUGUAUAUCUAGUAUCAACCUAAAAUAGGAAAGUCGAAAUCUGUGCUCCAUAUGUAUUAACAAUUAAUUUUUAGAGAACACUUCCCUAAAGAAAAAAAAAAAGUAUGUAGAGAACACUUUUAUUCAGAUUAAAUUUAUAGAGAAAAAACUAAUAGUGAUGAAGGGAAAAAAUAAACACAUAAAUGUAAUCAUUUUCAGACAAUUAUAUAAUGAUUAGACAACCUCAUUAUUAAAAAGCAAAAUUAAUCUGUAAUACAAUAUUAGAAAUUGACUAAUCAUUUCCCUCCAUCCCAUCGUAAUUAAGGGUGUGUUCCUUGUUUGUCUAAAGUUUAAAUUAUUUUGAUGUAUUUAUAUUAAAAAUAAAUUUUAAAAAAUAAAAAAAAUUGAUAAACUUCAAGAAAAAAACAUUUGAAAUACAAUUUCUUCAAACAUUCACUAAAUGUUAUUAAUAUAUCUAACAAGCACACCAUCCAAGUCAAAAACUCUCGUUUAUAUACAUGCAUGCUAGGCUGGAUAGCUUGUUAGUCAAAAACAUUAAGCAUUGUAAAUUGUGUAUAUAUAUAAAUACUGUAAUUUUUUUGUGUGAAAUAGUAAAUACAUAUUUGAGAUCGACACUGUUCUAAAAAGAAGUAUAGACGUGUCUCUUGGAGAGCAUGAUUAAUGAAGUUGGAUUUUCUUGUCCAAUUAAGCUGCUUGUGGGGGUCCUAGGCAAUGUGAUUGUGUUUCUAUGUUUCCUAUGCUGAUCAUGCGUAUAAUUAAAUGUGUAAUGAUGCUUUCGAUAAUGACCAUGGCAAACAUGUUUAGUUCAAAUCUACGUAUAAGAUAAUGAUUAAGAUGCAUUAACCAUAGUGACAAGUGAUACGUGUAAGAACAAUAAACAAUGGAAAAAAGCAAACUAAAUUCUUUUCCUCGUAAUUAGGCAAAACCGGAACCAAUCCUCAUAAAGAUGCUUGACGAAAUUAAUAUGAUUUGAAGUCCAUAGCUAAAUAAUAAAUGAUGUAAAAGUCACCAACAAAUAGGAUGGAUUAUUCUUUAGAUGGAAUCUCUUAGGGCUCAAAGCUUUCAAAGUUUUCAAAUUUGACCCUUAAGUUUAAGGAUUACUUCAAGAAAAGGGCACACCUUCGCUAGCUCGAAAUAUUAUUUAUUUAUUUAUUUAUUUUAUUUGUAACCCUUCUUAGUUUAUUUCAUCUUGAGAUCGACUGUCAUUUCAUUGGCUCCCAUUUAAAGAAAAUGUUAGUGCCUUCUAUUCUUUUUCACAUAUUAAGGUGUAGUCACCACAAAUAAUGGACUAAAGAUUCCUUUGUGCAUGUUAGUGUUCUAGAAGUAUCAAAGUCUUGGAGGAGAAGAUGUGUCAAGGGUUGACAAGUCAAGGCACAUCACUAUGAGAUUGAAUCAUAAAAGGAAUUGUUUGCUUUAUUUCCCAAUCGGGUCUCAAAUGUUUCGGGCAAAAGUUUGAUUUGAUAAUAUGAAAAUAUAUAAAUAUAUCCAGCCCAAAAGAAUAGUAUAAGAAAAGGUUAAAGUAUAAAGUGUAAGUAAAAUCAUAUUUUUUUAAGGAGGAAAUAAUUAAUAUAUGUUUUUAAGAGAUCGAAUUGAUGUGAUAAAUUAAAAAAAAAUUAGGGUUGACCAAUAAAAAGAAGCAUCCUCUUUUUCUUAGAAUAAUAGAAUUAGUAUUGGUUCAAAAGAGAAGAAAAAAAAUUCAUUUGGCAUCCUAUUUUAUCCCACAGACCCAUACCACUUUUGUUAAUUAAUAGCUAUUUAUUAUAAACAAGAGCCACCGCUUUAAAAUGAGUGUCGACAUGUAUACUAAAUGAUCUUUUGUAGAGAUUGUUAGAGAUGGCAAUGAGUUAUAAAUCAAUUGGUAUAAUGUUUUGUUUUUUCAUAUUACUAAAAAGAAUUAGAGCUUAUUGUUAAAGAUGUAAAAAUUACUUACUAGAACUGAAAAAUUGAGAGGAUUGAUACAAUCAUAGGUUUUCUUUUUCUAAAUGCAAAGUGAUGUUUAUAAUAAAUAAUUUAGAUUUAAUAUGCUAUCUGAAUUAAUUGAUAAAAAUAAAAGAAUUAAUUCAGAUGUAACAAAUCAUGGCUUGUAUAUAUUAUUCAUAUUCAGUCGGGUUGAUUGUAAUUUAAAAAUUCUAACUUUCCAUUUAAUCCAUUAUAUCAAUUUUUUAGAAAUUUUUUAAUCAAUUAUUAUUUAUAAUAUCUAUAUUAUUUAAUUUUAACAUGAUGGAUCGAGUUAAAUAAUAUAAAUAUUAAUGAUAUAUUAAUUAUUUUUAACGCCCCUACUAAAUACUCCAAGUUUAAAAGGGACUUCCAAAAUCUAACUUCACUCAAAUCCAGCUUUGAAGUAACCAAAAGGGGAGGAGUCAUGAAUCUAAAUUCCUAAUAAUAAAAUAAAAGAAAAAAAGAAAAAUCAUCUUACGUAACUUAAUUGGAAGAAUCUAUAUAUAAAAUAGUUUCAAUCAUAUUUUUAUUUUGAUACAAAAUUCAAAGAUUAAUUAGACCGUAGUAAAAUAAAAUUAAUUAGAUGGGAGUAAAAUAUUAUUCUAGUUAUUAUUGAUCAACUCCAUUUGUUUUAAUAAAUUAUGUAAAUUCUACUUUUCUAUUUAAUUUAGUUAGAAAUCAAUUUUUUUUUAUCAAUUUAUAUAUUGUUAAUUACUAGUUAAAAGAAAGGAAGGAAAAUUAAUGUAAAGUUAAAAGAAAAUUAAUAAAUUUAAAGGUAUAAUCGAUCCGGUUUUCCAUAUUUAUAUAGAAAUACUAAAUUUGUUUUAUUAAAUAAAACAGACAAGGUAAUUAAUUAGAAAUAUACAUCACAUUAAAGUAUUUGAUGAAUAACAACAACAACAUGGAAUAUCAAUUCAACAAAAAUCCAUAAUGUUUUAUUUAAAAAAAACAUUAAAACAGUCUUUAAAGAUUAUUUAAAGAAAUAAAAUACAUAAGUAUAUAAUAUUUAUAUAAAGAAAACUAUGGUUAUUAAAUCAUUCACUUGGAGGUGUAAUUUAAUAUUAUUGUACAAAAAUUAUUAUCUCGCUCUCAAAAUAUUAUAAUUAUAAUAAGUAAAUCUAAAAGGUACAGGGAAUGCACUCUCUAAAAUAUAUUAUGGAUCCCUUCAUAUGGUACUAUCGACAAACUGUGCUUUUUUAAAAUAAAAAAAAAAAUUGAAUUGGCCCUUAUUGGAUUAAAUUAUAGGCCAAUUUGUUAGGGAAUGGUAGGGUUGAAAGAUGGGACAUCAAAGCUAAAAUAUAGAAGGAGUGGGUGGCUUUAAUAAAGUUUGAGUGAAAUAUUUAUAGUAAUUCCUCACUUUUUAAAUUAUAAACAUCGGGUCUUUUCAGUUUUUAAAAUUUAAAGACAAAAUCAAUUUUAAUCUCAAACUUUAUUUUUAUUUUUUCAUCUUUAAUUUGAGAGAUUUGAGAAAAAAUCGCUAGGAUUUGGUGCUAGAGAAAGAAAAUUUGUAUUGGCACUUAUUGUUAAAAAAGGCCAAUAUUUGUAUUAAAUUGUUUAUUUAAUAAGAGGAGUUCACAUUAAGUCAUGAAAUUACAUAAAAAUAUAUAUUUUUAACUAGGUAUGAUUUUUUAUAUAUAUUUUGAGAUGGUUUAUUGGGCUUUUUGAGGCUGUAAAUAAGUUUAUCAAAUUGUUUAGAAUAUUUUCUAGGUGUUUUGUGUUAAAAAACAAAUUGAAAAUUGAGUUUUUGGAUUGAAAUAUUUAAUAUAUGUUUAUUUCUAUUAUUAUUUGAUUAAAUAAAAAAUUAAUUUUUAUAAAUAAAAUUUUGAAAUAAAACUUUGUCAAAGGCUUAAGUUAGAGGCCAAAUAUCUUAGUCUAUACUCUCCUCUUAAAUUUUUAAUUUAUAUAUUUAUUUAUCGUCAAUAAAUUUUUAUUUAUCUAUUAACACAUAGUUUUUUAUUUAUUUGAUUAGAUUUUUACGAAAAAUUUUUUAUUUCCACUUGAAAUUUUUUUUAUAUAAAAAAAGUGUAAGAAAAGCAUGCAUAUUCAUUUAUUUGUUUUUAGAAAAAAAAUCUGAUUAUCUGCCGCGGGUCAAAUAGCCACCUAGUUAAUUCUAUUUCUAGUUUACCUGACGGUCAAGCCCAAUAAAACCAUGCUUCGAAAAGAUCUGAAUAUCAAAUUGCUAAUAAAUGGGCUAAAGCCUAAAGUACUGCUGGUGGUUUUCAAUUGUGAGAAGCUUGGUAACGGGACAACCACGACGGCCCAAUCUACAUAAGCGGGAAAGCACAGUGCAGACUAGACUUAAGGGAAGCAUGAGGCGGCCUCCACCAUAGAUAGCCACUGCAAAGAAAUGGAGAACCGAGCUCAGCGGUCGAUGGUCUAGACCAGAAAGUAGAGCUAUUAGUCCAUUCGAAAAUACUCCUUCAAGGCUCGUGUAGUCAAAACAUGCUUGGCAGAUUUCGUUUCUAGCUGGAUGAUCAGGUGAUGCCCUAAACACCUUGAAUAGGGCACCUGCCAAUGUGUUCAUGGUAGGUGCCCCUUGCUGCGAACAAAAGCAUUAAUCGUUGGUUAAAAUCAGUGUCUUGUAUUAUGUCGACAAGUUCAUCAGGAUUUUCACUGGCUUGUCUUACCCUAGCCAGGGAGUAGAAGGACUGGGGAUAUCUGCAAAGGAAGAUGUAUCAUUGAGUUGAGGUCGAAGAAGAUCACGAGCACAAUGUGUGAUAGAGCCACAGUCAUUCCUCCUCCAGUUAAAUGCAUCCCCCAUUGGAGAAAGCUGGCAUGCUUAUGUCUGUCACUGUUUUUAUGCUCCCUUUUGUCAAUUGCAGAAAUGAAAGCAUGCAUCAUGCAAUUCAGGAGGGUCUGAGAUAUGUAAUUUGCUUGAUUUUUCUAAUGAAUCAGAAAAGCGAGAAGCAGAUGGUGAUUUCAAACAUAAGAGAUUUCAUUGCUUGGUAAUAUUUCACAUAAAAAAAUCGUUCGAAUAAAAUCUUAGCGACCUGGGGAGCUUUGGUAUGCUUCAAACAGUGUGCCAUUUGAUCACCAUUAGAAACGGAAGGCACUUUCUGUCCAGGAACAUCUACCACGCAGCGAAUCUCGGUACUUCAUGUCCAUGAUUUGCUCACAGAAGGUUGCUAUACUCCAGCACCAAGCUGACAAAUCACUCACACAAUCUGCAAUUACACAAACACUACUUUAACAUUCACUGUUAAAAUUAUAAAUAGUUUUGACACCAAAACUUUUAGUUGGUUCAACAGAUAUAUUGAGGUUCUGGCUGGCCACCUUCAUGGCCUAACCCAAUUAAUUUCAGGUAACCUCCAGGGUGUAGGAGUUCUCCAACAAUUCUGCCAAGUCUCUUUCAAUUUAUUUCAGAAAACCUCCAGGUUGUAAGAGUUCUUCAGGUCUAAUUUUCUGAAAUCAAAUUUUGAGGACAAUCCAAAACAUUUAUUAAAUUUCCUUAACUAGAUCAGACUAAGAAAAACUUUAUCUUGAUCAAAGAGUAAAGAAAUCCAAGAAUAUCCUGUCCGAACUAACAUAUCUAUUUACACACACAUGUAGUAACCUAACGAGGAAGAAGGCUAUCAAGAUCAACAACUAUCAAAAUAAUUUCUGCUCUCCUCAUAUAAAUAUCUUCAAACCUAUAACUUCCCUGUUUCCAUCUCUAACCCCAUUGAUCACUUCCGCAUAAGCCUUAUCACUUGCUUACCAAUGGGAUCAAUGAUUUCACGUACUUUUAUUAAUCUUAACCAUUUGAUUAUACCAAGAGCUCAUCUUUUCGUAGUUUUUUUCUUCUUUGCUACACUAUAAAUUAUUAUUCAAUUCAGAACAUGUACAAUUCUGAUAGAACUGUUUCACGACGGCAGGUCAUAUUAGUAGGGAAAAAAAGAAGAAAAAAAAUCAUUGCAGGAAUUGAAAACUAUCAAUUUGUAACUUAAUUUAAAAUGGGUUUGAUCCAUAAUGAGAUAUAUGGAUGGAAUAGCUCAGAGACGAUGGUUUCUGGCACUUGGGCAUAAUUUUUUUUCUUUACAAGAAUCAAUCUUGACUAAUUUCUAUGUUUGGCCAGCCUUGAUCUGCUUGUGACUUCACAAAUUGAGCCAAGAGCUUAAUCUCUUCAUCCUGCAACCGUGGUCCAAAUGUGCACUGUCCUCUUGGAGUAC